AUUGAACGCUGGCGGCAUGCCUUACACAUGCAAGUCGAACGGUAACAGGUUAAGCUGACGAGUGGCGAACGGGUGAGUAAUGUAUCGGAACGUGCCCAGUCGUGGGGGAUAACUGCUCGAAAGAGCAGCUAAUACCGCAUACGACCUGAGGGUGAAAGCGGGGGAUCGCAAGACCUCGCGCGAUUGGAGCGGCCGAUAUCAGAUUAGGUAGUUGGUGAGGUAAAGGCUCACCAAGCCGACGAUCUGUUGCUGGUCUGAGAGGACGACCAGCCACACUGGGACUGAGACACGGCCCAGACUCCUACGGGAGGCAGCAGUGGGGAAUUUUGGACAAUGGGCGCAAGCCUGAUCCAGCCAUGCCGCGUGCGGGAAGAAGGCCUUCGGGUUGUAAACCGCUUUUGUCAGGGAAGAAAAGGUUCUGGCUAAUACCUGGGACUCAUGACGGUACCUGAAGAAUAAGCACCGGCUAACUACGUG
rnacentral:rRNA from 1 species